GAUGAAGAACGCAGCGAAAUGCGAUAAGUAAUGUGAAUUGCAGAAUUCAGUGAAUCAUCGAAUCUUUGAACGCACAUUGCGCCCUCUGGUAUUCCGGGGGGCAUGCCUGUUCGAGCGUCAUUAUAACCACUCAAGCUCUCGCUUGGUAUUGGGGUUCGCGGUUCCGCGGCCCCUAAAAUCAGUGGCGGUGCCUGUCGGCUCUACGCGUAGUAAUACUCCUCGCGAUUGAGUCCGGUAGGUCUACUUGCCAGCAACCCCCAAUUUUUACAGGUUGACCUCGGAUCAGGUAGGGAUACCCGCUGAACUUAAGCAUAUCAAUAAGCGGAGGGA
rnacentral:misc_RNA from 1 species